CUAAUCAUAGCUCUUUAUUUUCGGGUUGGGCUUCAAAUCACAAUUGAAUGGGCUUUGUUUCACUUCCGGGUUAUGAGUCGAAUGUGUUUCGGUUUUGUCGUUGUUUUGGUUUUAUCUUUUAACUAAGUCUAGAUCUACGGAGACGAAGUCGCGAGUCUGCGAGUCUCUUCUCCUCAUCCCCAAUUCACUUCGUCUUCUCACUCUCAAACCGUAGCUUCUGAGUUUUUUCAUCCUAUUCUUCACAAUCAAUUUCUUCUUAGCGAAGGAGAUGAGGAAGAGAAGCGCGAGAAAGAGGAGAGCCGAGGCAAGGCCACCACUGGUGCCCGAUCCGAGAGAGGAAAUUGGAGGCGAGGAGGUAGAUGUGGGGACGCUUGGUCUUGGAUUCGUCGGCGCCGGAUUCGCCGGGAUAAGAGAGAUCGGCGUCGGAGUGAGGACGGCGGAAGGAGAGAGCGCGAUCGAGCAUCGUCGUCGCGUUGGCCCGUAAACCCAUUAACGAGGCCUAAUCAGAGAGCGCACCACCAAACCGUCACGAGGAUCUCUAUCUCUUUCUCUGUUGCGCAGGAGACGAUCUCCAUCUCUAUUCGUCCUUUCCGAACCUGAGAAACGUGAACGGAGAUGGUACCUUUGUCAUUAUCUCAACAUAAUCUCUGGCCGCCGGAAUCUGUAUCUACGGUGUUUCGGGGUUACGCAACCGCCACAUUGAAACACGCCUGCGACCAUCUUCGCCGUCACCUCCGGCUUGGCUUCCAUAUCCGCUCUUCCCUUCAGGUUCAAGCUAACUUACUUCUCUUAUAUUUUUCUCCUAAAGUUUUGAACUUUGGAACAAAAAAGGUUUAAACUUUCUUCACCUGUGUGCUUUGUGAUUAGCUCUUUUGCAAUUCUAAUUGUAAAAAGGUUUCAACUUUCAAUCACGAUCAUAGCUGCUUUCAAAAUUUAUCUCAUUUUGUCUUCGACUCUCUGUCUCUCUGCUGCUUUUGACAGAUCCUGCUGCAAGUCUAUGAGACUGCACGAACGGAGUUCUCAGGAAGAGUCGUUGUAUUCAACAGGGCUAAGUUUCUUCACUCCAGAGAUGAUAUCAGAUCUUCGUUAUCUGUAUGUUUCUUUAGUGGAUGAGAGAGUAGGAUAGGUCCUAGAGGUGAGGAGGGGUCAUCAUCAAACCAGGAGACAUCCAAGAGAAACACAAGCAGUGGACGGAGGUGGACCAACGUCCUCCUUGCCGUUAACGUUAGGUAAUGUGUUUAGUUCUUCUCUCUGUUACAUGUAACAAUAGAUCAUGUCUUUUGGUUUGAGAUGUUGCAUUAGAUAAAUGCUUUAGGCUUAUGGGUUUCAUUCUUGUGUCAUGACAGAAUGUAUAUUGCACAAGUUGCAUCCAAUGGUAGAGUGCUGACAUGGGGAGCUAAGGUAUCAUAUUCAGAGACUUGAUUAAAUACAAGAGGGAAACAAUUUGAUAUCUGAAUAUCUCUGUUCCAUUUCUCUUAAGUCUAUCUCCAAUGAAUUUUUUUGGUUCUUACGAUAAGCCAACUCAUCUAAUAGCUUUUACAGAUAAAACGUUGUUUGUUCUCUUCUCACCGCUUGCUCGAAACAGCUCAACGUUGGCUGCAACUCUUACUUGGGACAAUGAACUGUCUUGGAUGCUGGAGAAUACUACUGAAGAACUUAAAGAGACUAUGCUUUAGGUUUCUUCUGUUGUUAUGAGGUUACGUAUAGGGAGUCUCUAGGAUUAUAUGUUCUUAGCAAGAAUUAUGUUCCCACAAAAGGAUCGCAUUACAUUGCUGUAAAGAAGGCUUUGGAGAUGAUUAAGCAAAAUAUUUCAUCUCUUAGUAAGAGUGAAGGGCAUGAUGCUUAUCACUUCUCUCUGCAACUAACUGGUGCACCAGCUCUUAUCGGGAACACGAUAUGUAUAUAAGUAGUCUCUUGGUGAAUUAUGUUUGAUUCACAUAUCUUGAAGAAAUUUUUGUUAAAGAUAUUUUCAUUUUGUAUGACAUACAUCUUUGUGCAAUCACCUGAGAGGAUUUUCCAAAGGAACCGGUUAGGCGUCAGCAGUGAAGCUUUGACUGCAACUAGGCCUCGAGCUGCUUCAACUGCGUGUGAUAUCGAGAUAUAGCAUGACUUACUAACCAGUCUAUAUGUGAGAAAAAACUGUGAAGAAGCUUGCAAGAUUGCAGCACAUAUAUUCUCAAUUGGCGGAGAAGCUGAG